AUUGAACGCUGGCGGCAGGCCUAACACAUGCAAGUCGAGCGGAUGAGAGGAGCUUGCUUCUCGAUUCAGCGGCGGACGGGUGAGUAAUGCCUAGGAAUCUGCCUGGUAGUGGGGGACCACGUUUCGAAAGGAACGCUAAUACCGCAUACGUCCUACGGGAGAAAGCAGGGGACCUUCGGGCCUUGCGCUAUCAGAUAAGCCUAGGUCGGAUUAGCUAGUUGGUGAGGUAAUGGCUCACCAAGGCGACGAUCCGUAACUGGUCUGAGAGGAUGAUCAGUCACACUGGAACUGAGACACGGUCCAGACUCCUACGGGAGGCAGCAGUGGGGAAUAUUGGACAAUGGGCGAAAGCCUGAUCCAGCCAUGCCGCGUGUGUGAAGAAGGUCUUCGGAUUGUAAAGCACUUUAAGUUGGGAGGAAGGGUUGUAGAUUAAUACUCUGCAAUUUUGACGUUACCGACAGAAUAAGCACCGGCUAACUCUGUGCCAGCAGCCGCGGUAAAAC
rnacentral:rRNA from 1 species